AUACAAGGCUACUGGAAGAGACAGCUUGGUGUUCUUGGUUGAUGCAUCCAAGGAAAUGUUCAUCAAAGGUGAAGAUGGGCAGCCUUCAAACUUUGACAUGACCAUGGAGGUUGUACGGAAUGUGUACAUCCAUAAAAUCGAAAGUAGUUACAGGGACCUUCUUGCUUUGGUGUUCUACAGCACCGAGCAAAGCAAGAACCCCAGGAAUUCAUUCAAACAUGUCUACGUGUACCAUGACCUUGAUGAACCCGAUUCAUUGCACACCAGAGGG